GUAAAUGAAGAAGAAGAAUUACCAUAUCAGCUCUGCUCAUGACUGAGAUUGAGACCGAGACUGAGAGCUCGCAUACUCAGAAUAGAAGAGAAAAUGAAAGGUUUGUCUCUGUAUCGGAGGAGUUAUUUGGUUCUAUUUAGAAGAGAAAGAGCACCAAAUCAAUCAUAUGCUUUGCUUCCUUCCACUUCCUUCUCUACUUAUGACAAUAGCAGCAACGAUGAUUUGCAGAAUUCGAGGGUCAAGAUCUUCGAUCGCCACCUCAAACGCAAACAACGUGACCGAGCUGCAUGGCUGAUGCGCCCAAAUGAUUGCUUAGUUGAUGCUGUUGCUGAAAAUCUAUUGGAUCGUUUGGAGGAUUGUAACAAAACAUUCCCUUCUGCAUUAUGUUUAGGAGGUUCCUUGGAAGCUAUCAGACGUUUGUUGCGUGGUCGCGGCUCCAUUGAAAAGCUCAUAAUGAUGGAUAUGUCGUAUGACAUGAUUAAAAUGUGCAGAGACGCACCAAAAGAUGCAAAUGAAAAUAUCGAAACAUCCUUUAUUGUUGGUGAUGAAGAGUUUCUUCCAAUAAAAGAAAGUUCGCUAGAUUUGGUAAUCAGUUGCUUGGGGCUUCACUGGACUAAUGACCUUCCUGGAGCCAUGAUACAGAGUAGAUUGGCGCUGAAGCCAGAUGGCCUAUUUUUAGCAGCUAUUCUGGGUGGAGAAACUUUGAAGGAGCUUAGAAUAGCAUGCACCGUGGCUCAAAUGGAACGCGAAGGAGGCAUCAGUCCUCGAAUAUCUCCUUUGGCACAAGUCCGCGAUGCAGGCAAUCUGUUAACCAGGGCUGGCUUCACCCUUCCUGGUGUUGAUGUUGACGAGUAUGUGGUCAGGUAUAAAAGUGCGCUGGAGCUGAUAGAGCAUCUCCGUGCAAUGGGUGAAACUAAUGCUCUUCUGCAAAGGAACAAUAUAUUAAAGCGAGAAACAGCCUUGGCAACUGCAGCAAUUUACGACUCAAUGUUUGCUGCAGAAGAUGGCUCCAUCCCUGCAACAUUCCAGGUUAUUUACAUGACAGGUUGGCGGGAACAUCCUUCACAGCAAAAAGCCAAAAGAAGGGGAUCUGCCACCGUAUCAUUCAAGGACAUCCAGGAGCAAUUCGGCCAUGGUGGCUAAGACAUCUCAUCCUUCAACAGCAUUCAAUGUGAAUUUUAAAGCAACUUUCCUCUUCUAGGUUGGUCUCUCCAUUAACUUAGCUAAUUUGAUCGAGUGCAUGUUCAGUUAGAGGUUCUCUCUUCAAAUGCGUUCAUUAUUUUUCUUUUUCCAGUUUUUAUUUCAGACCCCAUUUGCUAGCACAUACACAUUGGUCAUCGCAUUUGGGACAUCAAUCCCUGCUCAGCCUCGUAUCGAUGGAGGGAGAGCUUGAUUGUGCUGGGUUUGGAAGUCCGAUACGUUUUAUGGGGCAGGCGGGUUUUAUUCUUUUCACCUUAAGGGUACUUUCAUCCAUUAAAUUUUCCGUUCUUUUUUUUUUUUAACAUAGGAGGUCCAAUAGACUGAAAUAACAUUGUGGGCUAUACAGCAGGAGUCGUCUUUUUUUUUGAAUGACAUUUAACAAAUUAGUGAUAACCUUUUUAGGGAAGGAGAGAGACCUCGAACUCGAGAUCUCUCACUCCCUACAUCAUCCAUGAGAGGUAAGAAUACAACACCUGAUUGGCAUUAAAUUCUCCAUUAA